GGAUACAUAUAUGUGUGUAUAAUACGAUGGACAAUCCAUGGUGCCGCAGCUUAAUUUGCGUUAAACACACAUAUAUAUAUUAGCACAGAUUUUUUAUAAUUCUGAUGAGGGUGCAAUAUUAGCACCGAAAGCUAAAGAAAUAAAAUGACAUAAUACUUAUCAA